AGCGAACGCUGGCGGCAGGCUUAACACAUGCAAGUCGAGCGGGCCCUUCGGGGUCAGCGUCAGACGGGUUAGUAACGCGAGGGAACGUGCCCUUCGGUUCGGCAUAACUCAGGGCAACUUGAGAUAAUACCGGAUACGACCUUAUAGGGCAAGGCUUGCUGCCGAAGGAUCGGCCCGCGUCUUAUUAGCUAGUUGGUGAGGUUAUGGCUCACCAAGGCGACGAUAAGUAGCUGGUCUGAGAGGAUGAUCAGCCACACUGGGACCGUGACACGGCCCAGACUCCUACGGGAGGCAGCAGUGGGGAAUAUGGGACAAUGGGGGCAACCCUGAGCCAGCCAUGCCGCGUGAGUGAUGUCGGACUUAGGGUUGUAAAGCUCUUUUCUCCGUGACGAUAAUGACGGUACCGGAGGAAUAAGCCCCGGCUAACUUCGUG
rnacentral:rRNA from 1 species